rnacentral:rRNA from 1 species
CCAAUAGCGUAUAUUAAAGUUGUUGCAGUUAAAAAGCUCGUAGUUGAACUUCGGGGUCUACCCAUUGGUCAGGCUUAAUUGUCUGCACUGGUGAGAUGGAUCUCUACCUUCUGAGGAACUUUCAUGCCAUUUAUUUGGUGUGAUGGGAAAUCAGGACUGUUACUUUGAAAAAAUUAGAGUGUUUAAAGCAGACUAUCGUCUGAAUACAUUAGCAUGGAAUAAUGAAAUAGGACGGACUGAUUCUAUUUCGUUGGUUUCUAGGAUCACCGUAAUGAUUAAUAGGGAUAGUUGGGGGCAUUAGUAUUCAAUUGUCAGAGGUGAAAUUCUUGGAUUUAUUGAAGACUAACUACUGCGAAAGCAUUUGCCAAGGAUGUUUUCAUUAAUCAAGAACGAAAGUUAGGGGAUCGAAGACGAUCAGAUACCGUCGUAGUCUUAACCAUAAACUAUGCCGACUAGGGAUCGGAUGAUGUUAUUUUUAAUGACUCAUUCGGCGCCUUACG